CCUACGGGUGGCAGCAGGGAGGAAUAUUGGUCAAUGGACGGAAGUCUGAACCAGCCAUGCCGCGUGCAGGAUGACGGCUCUAUGAGGGGUAAACUGCGGUUGUAGGAGGGUAAACACCCCUACGUGUAGGGGCUUGAAAGUAUAAUACGAAUAAGGAUCGGCUAACUCCGUGCCAGCAGCCGCGGUAAUACGGAGGGUCCAAGCGUUAGCCGGAUUUAUUGGGUUUAAAGGGUGCGUAGGCGGUUUGAUAAGUUAGAGGUGAAAUACCGGUGCUCAACACCGGAACUGCCUCUCAUACUGUUGAACUAGAGCGUAGUUGCGGUAGGCGGAAUGUAUGGUGUAGCGGUGACAUGCUUAGAGAUCAUACAGAACCCCGAUUGCGAAGGCAGCUUACCAAACUAUAUCUGACGUUGAGGCACGAAAGCGUGGGUAGCAAACCGGAUUAGAUACCCGAGUAGUC
rnacentral:rRNA from 1 species